rnacentral:rRNA from 1 species
GACGAACGCUGGCGGCGUGCCUAAUACAUGCAAGUUGAGCGCUGAAGGUUGGUACUUGUACCAACUGGAUGAGCAGCGAACGGGUGAGUAACGCGUGGGGAAUCUGCCUUUGAGCGGGGGACAACAUUUGGAAACGAAUGCUAAUACCGCAUAAAAACUUUAAACACAAGUUUUAAGUUUGAAAGAUGCAAUUGCAUCACUCAAAGAUGAUCCCGCGUUGUAUUAGCUAGUUGGUGAGGUAAAGGCUCACCAAGGCGAUGAUACAUAGCCGACCUGAGAGGGUGGACGGCCACAUUGGGACUGGGAAACGGCCCAAGCCCCUACGGGGGGCAGCAGUAGGGGAUCUUCGGCAAUGGACGAAAGUCUGACCGAGCAACGCCGCGUGAGUGGAGGAGGUUUUCGGAUCGUAAAACUCUGUUGGUAGAGAAGAACGUUGGUGAGAGUGAAAAGCUCAUCAAGUGACGGUAACUACCCAGAAAGGAACGGCUAACUACGUG